UACGGGGGGAGCAAGCGUUGUUCGGAUUUACUGGGCGUAAAGGGCGCGUAGGCGGUCGUGACAAGUCACUUGUGAAAUCUCCGGGCUUAACUCGGAACGGUCAAGUGAUACUGUCGGACUAGAGUACAGAAGGGGAACUGGAAUUCUCGGUGUAGCGGUGAAAUGCGUAGAUAUCGAGAGGAACACCUGCGGCGAAGGCGGGUUGCUGGGCUGAUACUGACGCUGAGGCGCGAAAGCCAGGGGAGCGAACGGG
rnacentral:rRNA from 1 species